AACGAACGCUGGCGGCAUGCCUAACACAUGCAAGUCGAACGAAGCCUUCGAGCUUAGUGGCGCACGGGUGCGUAACGCGUGGGAAUCUGCCCUUGGGUUCGGAAUAACAGUUAGAAAUGACUGCUAAUACCGAAUGAUGUCUUCGGACCAAAGAUUUAUCGCCCAAGGAUGAGCCCGCGUCGGAUUAGCUAGUUGGUGAGGUAAAGGCUCACCAAGGCGACGAUCCGUAGCUGGUCUGAGAGGAUGAUCAGCCACACUGGGACUGAGACACGGCCCAGACUCCUACGGGAGGCAGCAGUGGGGAAUAUUGGACAAUGGGCGAAAGCCUGAUCCAGCAAUGCCGCGUGAGUGAUGAAGGCCUUAGGGUUGUAAAGCUCUUUUACUCGGGAUGAUAAUGACAGUACCGGGAGAAUAAGCCCCGGCUAACUCCGUGCCAGCAGCCGCGGU
rnacentral:rRNA from 1 species